GGUAGCGUGGCCGAGCGGUCUAAGGCGCUGGUUUUAAGCACCAUUCUCUUCGGAGGCGUGGGUUCGAAUCCCACCGCUGCCA
rnacentral:tRNA from 1 species